rfam:Salmo salar isolate Sally breed double haploid chromosome ssa12, whole genome shotgun sequence.
UACAUUCACUACUGUAAGUCACUCUGGAUAAGAGCGUCUGCUAAAUGACUAAAA